CUUAUGAUAGACUGAUUGCACUACUGGUCUUAAUUCUUCACACUUGCCUAGAGCCACUCUGCCCUGAGAAUUCCUAUCUCCUCUAAAUAAAGAGGUGCAAUCUAGUUCCUUCUCCCUUGAAUCAGGGUUUUCCUCUGGCUGACUUUGGCCAAUAAGAGCUGGAAAUGACAGUGUGUCAGUUCCAAGCCUAGCUCAGAAGGCAUUGCAUAUUUUCCUCUGACUCACACACUCUGCCAUUACCAUGAGAACAUGCCUGGGUUAGCUGCCUGCAGAGCAAAAAUAGCAAAACCAAGUCAUCUCCGUUACCCCAAUGGGGGCCAACCCAGAGUAGCCAAUAAGACACCAAUCUUUGUACAUAUGGAGAUAAUGCCCAGUGGAGAGAGAAAACCCAUGAUGUGGAUAUAUAGAAAACUAGAAAUUUGCUCCAUUUCUGAAAGCAACUAAUGAAGUCAUCUUUGGUAAGUCACUCAUUUCCUGGAAGCUUUUCUUCAGCUUCAAUAAUUCUCUGACUUUAUUUUUCACCAUUGAGUGUAAUAUUAACUGAGAAUUUGUCAUCUAAGGCCUUUUUUAUGUUGAGGUAUUUCCCUACUAUAACCAAUUUGUUGAGGGUUUUUAUCACGAGAGGAUGUUGUAUUUUGUCACAUGAUUUUUAUGCAUCUAUUGAGAUGAUCAUGCGCUUCUAAGAUUUCUGUUAUUGUGGUGUAUCACAUUAUUGAUUUGUAUAUGUUGUCAUCCUUGAAUUCCAGGGGUAAAUCCCAUUUGGACACGGGGUACAGUCUCUUUAAUAUGUUCUUGAAUUCACUUUGCUAAUAUUUUGUUGAGAGUUUUCUUAUCUAAUUUUAUCAGAUAUAUUGGCUUAUAGCUUUAUUUUCUCAGAGUGUCCUUACCUGGCUUUGGUAUCAGGGUAAUGCUGGACUCAUAAAAUGAGUUUGGAAGUGCUGCCUACUCUUCAAUUUUUUUGGAGAAGUUUGAAAGGAUUGGUAUCACUUCUUGCUUAAAUAUUUGGUAAAAUUUGCCAUUGAAGCCAUCUGUUCCUGGGGGUUUCUCUAUGAGGAGUUUUUUGUUACACAUUAAAUCUAUUCAUUCUUGGUCUCUUCAGAUUUUCAAUUUUUUUCUGACUCAGUGUUAGUAGAUUGUGUUUCUAGGGUUUGAUCCAUUUCUUCUAGGUUAUCUAAUUUUGGG
ensembl:lncRNA